rnacentral:rRNA from 1 species
UACAGAGGUGGCAAGCGUUGUUCGGAAUUACUGGGCGUAAAGGGCGCGUAGGCGGUUCGUUAAGUCCUGUGUGAAAUCCCCCGGCUCAACUGGGGAACUGCACAGGAAACUAGCGGGCUUGAGUUCGGGAGAGGGAAGCGGAAUUCCGGGUGUAGCGGUGAAAUGCGUAGAUAUCAGGAGGAACACCGGUGGCGAAGGCGCACACCUGGCCCGAUACUGACGCUGAGGCGCGAAAGCUAGGGGAGCAAACGGG